CCCGCAGCGCGAUGCUAGGGUCAGCCCGUUGGGUUAGAGAAUCCGGUGCGAAUCCGGAACUGACGCGCAACCGUGACCCUCGCGUGAGGGAAGUCGGACCGACGCCCAAUGUAGGACGCUCCC
rnacentral:ncRNA from 1 species